CUGAUUUAAUUUAUGUUAUAUUAUGUAUGUGUGGUUCACUAACUCCUGAUUCCUCAUCUAUAAAAUGGGACUAUUAUAGCACAUAUACUAUAUGAUCAUUAUAAGGAUGUCAUUCGUAUUAUUGUGUUUUUAUAGGCUUUUUAGGUCAUUAGCUGUAGCAGUCCUUUAAUAAGCAUGUUUAUUGUCUUAAUUAGGGUGUCUGUUGCUGUGAAGAAACACUAUGAGCAAAAGCAACUUGAGAAGGAGUUUAUUUCAUCUUAUACUUCCUUAUCACAGUCCAUCACUCAGUUGAAGAUGGUUUCCAAUUCUUCUGGAAAGAACAUAAAAUAGAGAUAUAGCAGCAUGAUGUCAUUUGCCAUCUGGAACAGAGUGACCUGGAGAAAUAGCUGAAAUAAUGAGCGGUUGCCCUUAACAACCUGCCGACUGCCACAUAAGCUUCUGUAAGCUCUUCCUUGCUUGCCUGCCCCCACCUUGUCAUUUAGAGUACAAAAUGAAAAUGCAAACCACAACCCAGCCUCAAGGCCUUUGCGGAUCUGCCCUGGCUUUGGUCCACUGGUGACUUCUCUCUUCUGCUUUCAAUGGUGUUGGAGUGCUUAUUCCAGAAUGAUUCAUGCAACAUGUGUGCAGAAGAUGCAAUACUAAAUCACCGUCUGAGAAGUCAUCAGUCGUCGUCACCACACUGCAGGCCUACUGGGACCUUCAUGUUGAUCAACUGAAGAAUCACUUGUGUGUAUGCAACAAAAGCCCUUCGAAUGAACACGUAAGAGUCUCAAUCCGG
ensembl:lncRNA